UUAAUCACAACUCACAAAUCAGAUCACGAGAACGAGAUUUAGCAUCCAGUAAAGCAACGUUAUUAGUAAUUUUUUGUUUUUGUUAGUGGAGUGUAAGAUGUGUAUAAUUUGUAGGGAAUUAUUGGUAUCAUUCUGAAAAUUCUGUUCCCAUAUAUGUCGGCAAAUCGGUGGAAGCGAACACCGCAGGGUUUCAUGAUAUUCCGCUGUUGCAAGUUCAACUUCGGGUUCAUGUAAACUUCUGAGGGCCAUAUAUUUAUUAGAAUUCACAUUUUUUUUGCGUUUUCUCGCCUGUUACACGAAUCAAUUCGACUUAUAAAGGAUGUUGUGACAGCUGAUGGUCUAUGGUGAACUGGUUGAAGUUGUAGGGUAUGCAAAUGCAUAGUGAAUACUAUUUUGCGGCACCAGUAUAUAAAUUUGUAGAAUAGGUUGCUGUUUCUAGGAUGUAACUCCGUGCAGUCUGGUAGCCUUCUACCGACGUUUUGAAAGCAAGAGUUUCCCUCAGAAUGGGCGAAACAGCUGCCUUCAAAACUUGAGCAAGUCUGUCAGACUACACAGCGUGUAAAAAGACAGCAAACUUCGUAUUCUCUGCUGUGAGAACAAAGAAAGGCACAUCGAACUAUACAAAUUCAGAGAAGGUUUUAGUGGGUCCAAAUGGUGAGAUAUACCCAGCAAGUCAUGAUGCAAACCAGGCCAUGAAUAUAAAAUCGGAGGAAGUGGAUCUUGUGAAAGUAACAGUUGAUGAGAUAAAGGCUGAACCUGAGGACUGUGCAAGUUCAGAGAACGUUUUAGUGGGUCCAUAUGGGGAGACAUACCCAACACCUUAUGAUGCAAACCAGGCCAUGAAUGUAAAAGCUAAGGAA